ACACACUCAGUCCAUCAGUCGCUGUUGAUCGGCUGCUCUUCAACACGAUAGAUUUGAUGCUGAUGUGGCUCAGAAUGGCUCCUGCUCUUCAUCUGAUCUUUCUGCUCAUCAUUCACAGGGUUUCUGCUGCUGAUUGGGGUAUGAAAUACAAUGCUACAGAAAUAUGUGCACUACAGAACUCAACAAUGACAAUCAGCUGCACUUUUAUAUACCCUGAUGGAUUGCAGAUAAAGAGAGCCUUCUGGAACAAAAACGACGUGAAACAUGAUGGAGAGCUUGCAGAUCUGUCUGAGGACCCUGAAUACAGUCAGAGGCUUCAGUAUCUGGGAGAUAAACAGCACAACCGCACUGUCAGACUGAGUCAUGUGACAAAGAAAGAUGAACAUGACUAUUA